UGAUCUACUGCGCAUGUGUCGGAGCCUCGGCUGUCAGAGGACUCGCAUUCAGUCAGAGAGACAACAGCAGAGGAUAUAACUACGUGCUACUUUUUUGGCCGAGUGACCUUCAACAUUUUACUGUCAUUGUAGUGAAUUAUCCAGGUGAAGUGAAGGAUGAAUCGAGGCGUGAACGCGCAGCGGACAUUAUGGCGUGUGGCUCUGGUGAGCAAGUAGCAGAGAGAGGACUGUAGCCUGCUGCUGGACUGGGAGUCUGGGAGUCUGAUGCUGGACCGGGAGUCUGAUGCUGGACUGGGAGUCUGCUGCUGGACUGGGAGUCUGGGAGUCUGAUGCUGGACCGGGAGUCUGAUGCUGGACUGGGAGUCUGCUGCUGGACUGGGAGUCUGAUGCUGGACUGGGAGUCUGCUGCUGGACUGGGAGUCUGCUGCUGGACUGGGAGUCUGCUGCUGGACUGGGAGUCUGCUGCUGGACUGGGAGUCUGCUGCUGGACUGGGAGUCUGCUGCUGGACUGGGAGUCUGCUGCUGGACUGGGAGUCUGCUGCUGGACUGGGAGUCUGCUGCUGGACUGGGAGUCUGCUGCUGGACUGGGAGUCUGCUGCUGGACUGUUUUUUUAACGCCCAUCCCUGAUGCUGCUCUGGCUCGUGGGUCUACUGUCUGCUAGCAUAAGUCCGUCCAUCAGUGACAGGCUGAUUAACGGUAAACGAAACUAAGAGUACUGCUGCUGUCAGCUGGGUUAUGAGGUAAAUACAGGGUAAAAGGUGGGAGGGAUUAUUUUUCAUCCUUCAGCCUCUCUUCACUCGAAGCCCACAGCCUGGACCAUCACACAGCCUGGACCAUCACACAGAAACACUGAAGCUGAUCAGAGAGUGAAGCUGCAGCUCAGAGCUCCUCAACAUCCAGCUGUGGUACAGUCAGACUGUAGAUUGAUGUUGUUGUAGCUGUACUGACUGAACCUGAUGACUCUUCACCUGUGUCCUCUCACAGAGAGAAGAUGAUGCUGCUGCUCCUCAUCCUCACCUCCUCAGCAGCAGCAUUUGAAGUGAAGGUGACACAGAGCUCCUGUCAGGCAGAGGAGAACCACAACAUCACACUGGAGUGGACGUUCACCACAGACACCGAGACUAAGACUGAGGAGAUUUUUGUCUUCUGUUUUCAUUUAACCCAAAGAAAAGCCUCACUUCUGUAUCGGGCCCAUGACGGUGUUGAGAUCUCAGAGUCUGUGGAUGAAGGUUUUUCAGGAAGAGUCCAGAGUGACACAGACGCCCUCAGAGAAGGACGAAUCAGACUUCAUCUGUCCAGACUCAGGACUGAGGACUCUGGUCUGUAUGUGUGUGAAGUGACGAUAGCUUCAGUUACCCACUCGGCCCUCUGUAACCUGACAGUCUCUGCAGCUGCUGCUCAGACACACACUGACAGACCAGCUCUGAGUCCACCAGCAGACACAAGAGGAUGGACAGGACUCAUCAUUGGACUCAUCAUUGGACUGUCAGUAGUAGUCGUGGUAGUUGCACCAUGUAUUGUUGUGUGUUGUUGUGUUUACAUUGGAAGACAAAAACACCGGUCCAAUGUUUCAGAGGAGCAAGCCAGUACUCCUCUUAAUCUCUCUGGAAUCAUUACAGCUUACAGAGACUGUAAGUCUGUAAGUCCAACUGUGAGUCCAAACCUUGAAGACAGACAAGACUCUAUGAUGGACUCAUAGCAGCAUUAGGAGUUUUACCAGUUUGCAUUGCUAGAUGUUGUUUUAUAUGCCCCCCCCCCCUGUUUACAAUUUUGCAGACAUCAUCUACAACAUUGCAGAAAACACCAAAACCUUCCUGCAAUGACCCAGAUGUCCAGUAUAACACUAUACAUCCUGAGGUUUCCAUCAGGAGACACUGAACACAUGUGAAGUAUUUGAAAUCAUGUUAAGCAGAGCUGCUACACACGGCAUGAUCAGUCUGAGCAGUAUCAAUAUAAAACACCAUCUGAUCAUCAUCAGGCUGUUUCUGCUGAGGCAGCCCAUAAAAUAAAAUAACAGGAUUCUAACCA
rnacentral:lncRNA from 1 species